rnacentral:lncRNA from 1 species
UUUUUUUUUUUUUGAGAAAAAUAUACAUUUAUUGACAAAUUCGGUGCAUAUUUUCUUGAACACAUUGUCUUUUAAGGACACUGAUUAAGUCACAAUGAGUUCUUAAUCCUUUGUAAUCUCUCUGUUUUCUACUUUGUUAAUCUCUGCCUUAAAUUAAUUUCCUUUUUUCAACUUCCCUUUUGUUUAUCUUGGUAACUUUUUAUUUUAUUUUGCUUUAUCUUAUUUUUGUCAAGGUCACAUCAGUUUAGUGUGCUAUAUCUUGUUAUAUGGAAGUUCUCAGGCUAGGGAUUCAUGUGGAGCCGCGGAUGUGGGAUCAGAGCCGCAUCUGCAACCUACAACACCACAGCUCAUGGCAAUGGCCAGAUCCUUAACCCACUGAGCGAGGCCAGGAAUCGAACCUGCAUCCCCAUGAAUAGUAGUCAGGUUCGUUCCUGAUGAGCCAUGGCGGGAAUGCCCUAGAUUGUUACAGCUUAAUUGAAGUCAAACCCACUGUAGACUUCCUUCUCAGAGAGGCCUUUGCAUAAAAUAUCCAUUAGCUUAAUAAUAUUUAAAUUCCAACUUUCUGAAGCCUGUAAGCAUAUUCUCUAACAUCACCUGAGUAUAUAAAAAUAGCAUACAAUUAAACAAAUAAUUACUCUAUAGUGUCAGAUACUGUACUUUUAACUCUAGAAAUGAAAGUGGAAAUUUUCCUAGAAAUUCAAAGAGUGAUCAGAUUAUCUGUGUCCUAUUAGAACUGUUUCUUAAAGCACUCCUGUUUUUACCAUUUUGGCACAUUUAACAUAUCCUAUCUCUGAAACUUUUGUCAGUUUUGUUUGUCUGGAGAACACUGACUGACAUAAUAAUCAAUCUUAUGUACUUGGAUAGCACUAGUUCAUUCAACCAAAAAUGGUUAAACAGCACCUACAUAGCAAACACCAAGAUGGAUAAAAUCCCUUCUAUGAGACAAUAAGAUUUACUGUAUAGCACAGGGAACUAUAUUCAAUAACUUGUAAUAACCUAUAAUGGAGCAGAAUCUGAAAAAGAAUAUAUAGAUAUCUAUUUAACUGAGUCACUUUGCUGUACCCCUAAAACUAACACAAUACUGUAAAACAGCUAUACUUUGAUUUUUAAAAAAUCCCUUCCAUAUGGCUCUCCUAUUUUGGAGGGAAGAAACAAAAAUGAUUAAGCAUAUUAAUUUAUAACAGGCAGUGGCAAAGCAAGGCAAGGAAACAGAGUGACAUAAGAAGGGUUGUAUUGGAGUUCCCUGGUGGCUCAGUGGGUUAAGGAUCCAGUGUUGUUAAUGCAAUGGUCCCGGUCACUGCUAUGGUUCGGGUUCAAUCCCAGGCCUGGGAAUUUCUGCAUGCUGCAGAUGCAUCCAAAAAAAAAAGAAAGAGAGAGAAAGAAUUGAUUGGCCAAUCAUUUAAAAAAAAAAAAAAAAAAGAAGAAGAAGAAGAAGGGCUGUAUUGAACAGGGCGCUGAGAAGGCCAGAAAUUAGUGGUAUUUGAGCGCCAUCUGUAUCAAGCGAUGGCAGGGCUUGCAGGUACCUGGAGGAAGACUGUUCCAACAGGUGGAAUGGGAAAACCCAAGGCCUCGCAGACGGCUGCCAGUGACUGGCCAGGGCAUUGUCACUGCAUGCAGUCCCAAGGGUGCUUUGAUCCUGGGGAGACUACUGCACUGGGCCCAGUCAGGGCUCAGGUCCUAUCACUGUCACCCAGUCAUUUGAUCUUCUGGCCCCUGAUGCCUUCUGGAAAAGGUGAGGGCUUAGGACCAGAUCAUCGUUUCCUGUCCAAAACACCCACAGUGCCAGCUCUGCAUCCGCCCCCAGCAGUUUCCAAUGUACAAAUAAAGCCUCUGAGGAACAUUCCAGCAAAGGAACCUGAAUGACUUUAUUUAACCCAAUGUUACCAAACUCACUUGGUCUCAAAAACCUGUUCCUACUAUUAAUUGAACUUGGGUUAGUUGAAAACACUUUUAGGAGUUCCCGCUAUGCCUCAGUAGAUUAAGAGGAUCAGCUGGUCCCCAUAGGACCCAUGAGGAUGCGGGUUUGAUCCCCGGCCUUAUUAAGGAUCUGGCAUGGCCACAAGCUGUGACAUAGGUUGCAGACGUGGCUCGCAGCUGGCAUUGCUGUGGCUGUGGCAUAGGAAUGCCAGAUCCAAGCCACAUCUGCACCCUACACCACAGCUCGCGGUAAGGCGGCAUCCUUAACCCACUGAGCAAGACCAGGGAUCGAAUUCGCAUCCUCCUCAUGGAUACUAGUUGGGUUUAUAGCUGCUGACCCACAAUAGGAGCUCCAGAAAAGAGCAUUCUAGAAUGGACCUGAUUGACUUUCUUUGAAAGAAAUGCUUUGUGGUGAUAACACCACUGUAAAACUCAGGGUUUGCAUUGUGCAGUAGUGGUGAAACCCCUAUAAAGUUGACCUGUGUUAAGAUAUAUACAGAAUGGCAUUUACUGCAUAAAUUUGUUUGUUUGUUUGUUUUCUGGCCAGCCACUGUGAAUUUAUGCUCUGCUUAUGACAAGGGAAACCAGAGGUGCAUGAAUGGAUUAGAGCAAUUUCUUCCUCCUUCCUUCCCCAGAAGCUAUCUGAGCACUUAGGAUGGAUGAGGGCUCUGUUGGCUGAAAACACAAAUCUGCUAAAUGCCCUGGGACCACCAGCCUCCAUACAGCAGACAACAUCAUUGCCACCUUGGAACACUUGUUUCCAAAACUUGAGAACUUGAUAAAGAAGGCAGAGCCAGUAAAAAGGAGAGCAGUGGUUAUAACCAUCAACCUCACAAGUGGAAAAAAUAUAAAAUAAAUUUUCAAGUAAUGACUAAGCUAUAAGGAAAUUUACAAGUUUUUUAUUUGAAAAUUAGAAUUUGUUUAGAUUCAUUGCAGCACUAUUCAUAAUAGCCAAGACAUGGAACAAUCUCUGCCCAAUUGACAGAUGAAUGGAUUAAGAAUAUGUAGUAUAUAUACACAAUGGAAUACUACAUAACCAUUAAAAAGAACAAAAUAAUGCCAUUUGCAGCAACAUGGAUGCAACUAGAGAUUCUCAUACUAAGUGAAGUAAGUCAGAAAGAGAAAGACAAAUACCACAUGAUAUCACUUAUAUAUGGAAUCUAAAAUAUGGCACAAAUGAAUCUAUCUACAGAACAGAAACAGACUCACAGACCUAGAGAACAGACUUAUGGUUGCAAGGGGGAGGGGCAGGUAGUGGGACAACUGGGAGUUUGGGGUUAGUAGAUACAAACUAUCAUUUAGAAUGGAUAAGCAGUGAGGUCACUUGUGACAGGACAUGAUAGAAGAUAAUUUAAGAAAAAGAAUAUGUAUGUUUCUUGCUGUACAGCAGAAAUUGACAGAACAUUAUAAAUCAACUAUAAUAAAAUAUUGGGGGAAAAAACCAUUUUCUUAGAAAGAAAGUUCACCUAAAAGGGUGAGGAAGCCCUUCAUCAUUUCUGCAAUUCAUAUAACAUUAAAUAUAAAAAUCUAAUGUUUCAGCCCUGUAUGAGAACACUUCAGUUUUCAAACAACCAACAUAUGGGUCUACCUAGCAUUCAUUACCUAGCUAAAGAUAUUUAUGAGUAGCUGUAAAAACAAGUUGGGGAAUUCCUGUUGUAGCUCAGCAGAAAUGGAUCCAACUAGUACCAUGAGGCUGCAGAUUUGAUCCCUGGCCUUGCUCAGUGGGUUAAGGAUCUGGCCUUUGCCCUAAGCUGUGGUGUAGGUCGCAGAGGCAGCUUGGAUCCUCUGUUGCUGUGGCUGUGGUACAGCUCGGUGGCUGUAGCUCUAAUUCGACCCCUAGCCUGGGAACCUCCAUAUGCCCCAGGUCAGGACCUGAAAAGCAAACAAACAAAGGAACAACCACAACAAAAAAAACCAAGAUGAUAAAUUUUACUCCAUAUGCAAAGGGUCAUUUGUCCUACUAAUGUUUAACAAUAAAGUAUGAAUACAUGGAAGUCCAGAAUAGAGUGUAUUUAAUGAAAAUCUUUAAAUUAGAAUGCAUCAUAAACAUUUUGUCCAAAUUAUCAAAAUUCAAAUUAGAUGUGUUAAACUCUGUGAGCAUUUCCUAUGCUUUAAACAUAUUGCAAAACUGGCAGCUUUAAACAUAUUGCAAAACUGGUUUAAAACAAUUAGAAAUGCAUUGUCUCACAGUUCUGGAGAUUAUAACUUCAAAACUGUCAGUAGAACCAGUCUCUCUCUGACACCGGUAGGGGAAGAUCCUUCCUUGCCUCUACUGGCUUCUGGGGUUUGCUGUCGAUCCUUGGUGAUCCUUGGCUUGUAGAGCCACCCUUUGCCUCUGUCAUCACAUGGUCACCUCCUCCCUGUGUGUCUUUGUAUUUGUGUCUCUCCUCCUUAAAAACAUCUCCGUCCUGAUGGAUUAAGGGACCACCUAUACCAGCAUGAUCUCAUCUUAACUCAUUACAUCUGCAAAAACCCUAUUUCCAAAUAAAUCCCAUUCUGAGGUCUUGGAAGUUUGGACUUCAGCACUUUUUGCGGGAGGAUACAGUUCAACCCUAACAGUCUAUGCCUCUGACCCUCCAAAAUUCAUGUCCUUCCCACAUGCAAAACCUAUUCACCUGAUUUCUAACAUUUCCAAAUGUCUUAACCAUUCCAGCAUCAACUCUAAGGCCCAAACCUCAUCUAAAUAUCAUUGAUUCGAAAUCCCAAAUUUCACUAUCUACAUCAUCUAAACCAGUACAUGCGUGAUUUAACCUGGGUAGAUGUCUUUUCCAUCUUAGGAACUGUAACUGUAAAACCAGAGAAUGAAUUAUCUGCUUGCUGAAUACAAUAUCAGGCAUAGAAUAGACUUUCUCAUUCCAAAAAGACAAAAGGAGAAGGAAAGAGGGUGGGGGGUAACCGGUACCAGGCAAGUCCUAAAAAUUAGCAGGGCACUUUCCAUUAGACUUCGAGGCCUGAGAAUAAUCCACUGUGCCUUGAUGCUCUGGGCCUAAUGGAAGGAUAGCCUCACCUUGUGAGUUCCAGGGGGCCUAUCAUCCCAAGCUUCUGUAUCAUAGCUCUUCCCUAAGAGCCCCUCUUCCUUCCUGCAUGCUGUCUCUGUCCCUUUCAGUCCUGGAUGGUGGUGUUUCUGCUGGUAUGAAGUUCUCAAAAAUCUUGUCAGUCUCCCACAAAGACCCAGGUCAUUAGACAAGAGGGUUUUCUAUGGAGCUUUCCUGGGUAACUCCAGCUCUAUUCCUGGCUUCUAUUGAGAUGGUUGAUUAAAACAAUUAGCUGAAUACCUAAUCUCUUUAGUAAAUGACUUGCCAGCCAGACUCUUGGCCCCAUUUCUCAAGUAUACUCUCUGGAUAGGCGGAGAAUCUUUCAAAUCAUCAAACGCUGGUUCAUUUUUGCUUUUCAGUUCCUUCCUCAAUUUACCUUUCCUCUCACAGUUUCCUAUAAGCAGUGAAAAGAAGCCAAGCCACACCUUCCAUGCUGCUUAGACCUCUCCCCAAAAAAAAAAAAAAAAAA